GAUGUACAUGUACUUGGCUGCUGGGAUCGUGCCGUUCAUCAUCAUAGCCAUAAUCAUAUCUGUAGUAUUGAUGCGUGGGUGUGAAGGCGAAUCAAAGAACGAGACGCAAGCUGAAGUCUAGUACAUUGCAAUCCCAGCCAAGCAACCCAUACCACACGGCAGCCUCCAGCCCUCGCCAAGAAGAAUUUAAUCUGUGCCUCCAUCUCAAAGACCCUUGUGGACAAAAAUAACCAAGAAAAAAUGCAAAUGACCUUCAUUGUUGUUGUUUUUUUAUAUAUACUUAAUUUUGUAUGUCUUGUAAAUUGCACUGUUUAGGAAAAUGCGAUCUAAGUUUUUCAUACUUUACACCGUAGUUGUGUGUAUGUUAUGUCAAACACCUUUAAAUCUCUUGAAGUAUGCUUUAAAACCACCAAAUCUGAAAAACCAAUUCACUUUUGUGAGACUGACCGUUAAACGGCCCGACCAACCAAGGAGGCAGAGGCAGAACGUCUAAAAAUAUAACCCGACGUGGGCAUUUAUUAAAAUAAUGUGCACAAAGUUCACAGCCUCAAUCCUGCUUUUCUCCGUGAACACAUCCUGCAGCCACAAAGAUCUCACACACUACCAGCCUCUAGAAAACAGCACCUAAAUACACACACUGACUAACAAGACACAGGUGAGGGGGAGCAAUUAGACACAGGUGAGGGGGGAGGAGACAACACAGGGCACCAGGUGCACACAAUCAGCAACAGACAUGGGGA